rnacentral:piRNA from 1 species
UAUCAGUAAUUAUUUAUAUCUUACUCUGGA